AUACUUAGCUGGCAGGGGAGUACCAUGAACAAGAAGGUGGUUCACCGGGCGAGGCUAACCAUUGCACUCCGUUAUGCUGACCCCUGCGCGAAUUCCCCAAAUGUGGGAAUCUCGACUGCAAUAAUUUUGGUAGUGGGGGACUGCGUUCACGUCUGCCCCGA